GUACCCAGCGGUUUCGCCUACCGUAACCCUGUCGAAUCCACGUGGAAUCGGUGAACCGGAGUUUCGAGAGCUUCAGAGGCAAAUUCAAGAGAUUAUUGAGCAAAAUAGUGAUGAAAUGCCAAUUAUUUGCCAGAUUUUUCAGGUAAAAAUUGAAAUUUUAGGAAAAAAUUUUUGAAAAAAAGUUUCCAAAAAAAAAAUUUUUUUUUGGAAAUUUUUUUUUGAAUUUUUUUGAUGAAGUUUGCAGUUUCAACCAUUUUUACCUCAAAAAAGCCAAAUUUUUCAGCACUGCUCCGACUUUUUAACGGAAAAUCAGCACCAAAAUAUGGAUUGUUCGAUUUGUCUGAUUUGCCUCGCUUCAUCUCCAAUUAUCGUCACCGCCUGCGACCAUUUUAUGCAUUUCGCGUGUUUUAAUCGAUAUUUGACGGAAUGUUUGACGGGGUUGAGACAAGAGAUUCAGGAUGCCCAGAAACAUAUGAAGGAGCAAGUGGAAACG
rnacentral:sRNA from 1 species